rnacentral:rRNA from 1 species
CCCUUAGAUGUUCUGGGCUGCACGCGUGCUACAAUGGCGUUUCCAGCAAGUCUGCGAACCCGAGAGGGCCAGCGGAUCUUCGAAUUGGCGUCGUGAUCGGGACAGUCGAUUGCAAUUAUUUGACUCAAACGAGGAAUUCCUUGUAAUCGCGAUUCAUCAUAUCGCGCUGAAUACGUCCCUGCCCUUUGUACACACCGCCCGUCGCUCCUACCGAUGAAUCGUCCGGUGAAGUUCAUGGAGUGGUGGUUGUUCCAGCUGCUGUCGAAGUGAAAUGGACCUCACGAUUUAGAGGAAGGAGAAGUCGUAACA